rnacentral:tRNA from 1 species
GCCGGCGUGGCGCAAUGGUAGCGCGUUGCUUUCCUAUCGAAUAGAGAUACCCGUACAAGGCAAAGGUUAUGGGUUCGAUCCCCAUCGUCGGUU